UACGUAGGAGGCAAGCGUUGUCCGGAGUUACUGGGCGUAAAGCGCACGUAGGCGGCUUUCUAAGUCGGGGGUGAAAUCCUGGAGCUCAACUCCAGAACUGCCUUCGAUACUGGAAGCUCGAGUCCGGGAGAGGUGAGUGGAACUGCGAGUGUAGAGGUGAAAUUCGUAGAUAUUCGCAAGAACACCAGUGGCGAAGGCGGCUCACUGGCCCGGUACUGACGCUGAGGUGCGAAAGCGUGGGGAGCAAACAGGG
rnacentral:rRNA from 1 species